ensembl:lncRNA
GGGAAAUACCAGAAUUUGGCAGAGUUGAGAUGUUUGAGUAGAUAGGGACCACCAAGUGAUCUGGGAAAUGAAAUCUCUUGAGAUCCUGCUCUUGCUGUUCUGCUUGUUUUGUACGUAACACUUAUAAUGUAAUUCCCAGAGCACUGUGAUUUCUGUGACUUUCUUCCCACUUCUGGAGAAGGGCUAGAGAAGACCCCACAAGACAAAAACACAGAAGUGCUACAUUCAACUUUUAACAGGGAUUUUCUUUUCCUUUUUAUUUCUAUUCACAGAAGCAAAGCGAAACAAAACAAAUGUUUAAACAAGGCUGCCCUCUUCAUUGUUCCCUGCUCUCCCUCAGGCAAAUGCUGCAUGGGUGGGAAAAACGAAGCUUUGCAUUAUGACAGUGGUUAUUUUCUCACCUCCAGCCUACCUCCACCCAUAUUCAGGGUUUUAGCAGUCUGAGGCGAUCAAUCAGGUGGAAUGAUCCUGUCAACUGCUUUACCCUGGAAAUCAGGUGGCAAGGAGAGACAGGUAUCAUGGAGGAAACUUCAGAGAUCAUGCAGAUUUCAGUAGUAGAUUUCUUAUUCUGUUUGGCAGAAAUGUCUGCUUUGCAGAGUUGAUUCAAAGUGCUAUUGAAUUCUCCCUCAACCCCUGCCAGAACAUGAGAGCCACAUUGGCCGUGCUGGAGAAAGGCAUAAAAUGCCUUCUAUUCUAAGUACAUAUGGACCCCUGGCAACUGCAGAGGUAAUCAUUAACUCUGACUUCCCUUUGUUCUCCUGCCAGCUUGCUAAGUGCGUAACUGUGCUUGUGGCAGUCAGGGGGUUCUGACCCACUCAUACUAAAAGAUGUAGUGGAGAACGAAAGAGGUCACGGACUAAGCCUCUCCAUGAAAUGGAGAGCAACACUUGUGCUGCAGCAACCUUGUAAUGUGAAAGAUCAUCCUGAGACUUUGGGAGGAGUGCUGGACAAUGUGGGAAGAUCUCCAUCUUAACUCUGUAUGAGAGCAAGAGGGCAAAAAGAAUGAAAUGAAGCAGAAAAAGAAUCUCCUCUAACUCAGAAGUCACCUGAAUUGCAAGAGCUGCACUUCUGCUUUCACUCUGCCGUGGAUUUGCAUUGUCUGAUGCCAGAGACAGGAGUCCUGACACUCACCAGCCUGCCUUGGAGAAGAGUAGACAGUUUGUACCUCAGAAACCACUGGCCCUGAAAGAAUAGGUACAUUAAAUAUUAGCAGUUUCCAGUCCUCACCCUGGCCUAGCUGUCAGCGAGUUCAUUUGCUUGUCUGGAGGGACCACAGGAAUGUAGGAGUCAAGGGGAAAUAUCACAAGAGUGAUGGACUGUGAGGCUCCCAGGUUCCCUCUGCCAUUGCAGAGCUCUUCGACCUAUUGUAAUCGUCACCAGACAAAAUGAGUCUUUUUCCUUCCAGACAGAUUGGAGGCAAAGGACAGUGCUUUAGAGUCAAUGUUACAUUUAAGAAACAACAUGCAAUUCAAACCUUGUAAUUAUCAUGAUUUUUCAGACUGGCAGUGAAGAUGGGAGCAAGAAGGCAGCAGUGAACCUGGGAGAAAGGAGAGACUUUUUUUCAUUUUUUUCAGCUUCUAUUUCUUCCCCACUGACAAAAGAAAGAAAAUAAGGACUUUCAUGGAAAACUAAAUUAAGGUGAAGGCUGAUAUCUUAAUAGGCUCUGCCUAGAUCUGUGCAUCUCAAUUCUUGAUGGGCCUCCAGUUUGUUCCUGUACUGAUUGCUGUCCUCGGUGCUGCAGUUUUUUGAGGUGAUCCCUUCCUUGUCGUGUGAAGCUUUCCCAGCCUGAUUUUAAGUCUGGUCAGGUUCCUCCUGCUUCCUCCCAUUCUGGUCCAACCAGGAGAUGUGGGAGCAAUUGCAGUAGGUUCCUCAGAAGCUUCACAGACGGAAUGAGUUGAAAGCAUAAAGGAUGUCCCAGCAGUAACUUCUUCAGUGGAUAAGCAAAUUAAAAGUACUUGUCUUCCCCCCA